CGCAGGUUUCUCCGCUUCGGGCUGAGCAGAGAGCCGACCCUGCUGCGACGCCUUCCUGUCCUUUUUGUCCAGCCAGAGGAAAGACAGCAUCAGGAAGAGACCGGAGGAGGCAACAACGGCACUGCAAGCGAUAAAGACGUAGAAAUAUUGUUGCGUGCGGUCCACCAGGAUCCCUGUAGCAAAGGAAACAGUGACAUAUAGAUCACUUUGCUGACCUGUAAUUACUCCAGCGGUGACGUAAAGCUCGGCGAUGGAGUUGGUAAACGAGCUGGCGGCCAUUCCGAGCCCACUCAGCACCCCGCCCAGCAUGACGGUGGCCCUGCAGCCGAGCUUCCCCACCAGCACGCUGCAGAACGGACCUGCGGAUCACAGGAAAUGCUCUUGGUGCAAUGCACACUUGUACAGGCAGAGGCUGCUUUCCAAAUCCUGCCUACUUCACAUAACCUGCUCAGCUGCAAUCUGAGAGGAGGAAUGAUCUAAAAAAAAAAAAUGAAGUGUUUGCUUUCUUGUAUUUACAAUCAUCAUGUUGAAUUUGUAAAGCUGUAAAACUGUUAGGCUGUGAGACAUUUUACGUCACGUUCAAAAAAUGUACAGAAAAGUUUCUCUGCUC